AACAAACUUCUGAACCAAAGCCUGUAGAAAUCAUUAGAAAGAGUCCCAUGAAUUUGAACAGCUGUAUUCAUAGCUGCCAUCCCUCAUUCUGACCUCUGUCUGUGCUUUGUAUAAAUAUGUGUUAAUAAGCCCAGAUCUGAAGAGUUAUCUCUAGUAUGAAACUCCUUACCUGGCUUCCAGUAUAUGGUGAGGAUUAACUUGGAUUAGACUGUGUUUUCAGAGUUAUUGCAAAAAGUAAAGUCAAUUAGGCUUGCUCUGGAUUGGUAGUAGGGAUCUGUUACAUUGCCUGUGUGGGACUAUUGCUGGGCUAUUGCAGAGGGUAAACAGACCAGAGGAAGAGGCUGGCACUGAAAGGAUUUCUUAAAACUGGUCUUUCUUGAAAGCAUAAGUACAAAAAGGUGUUAUCUUUGGCUCAGAGGUCUUAUAAUUCCUUAUAACUCGAGACAGCUUAGCUACCAAGGCAUUUAAAAGGUCUGUGCAACUUUCUCUUUGUGGCUGGUGAAAGAUCAACUGACUCAUAGGAGUCUGGGCAGCCAGGGUUGCUAGAGGGUUGCUACAGCAACUUGAUUUUUCUGUGAAUAAGGAGACAACUUAGCAGGCUCUUCUGAAGCUUUCCAGUUCCUGGUGGCGAGAGUAGUGAGAGCAGCUCUCCCUCCCUACAGGUAUGUGAUCCUGCCUCUGGACUAAAUGCAGCUUCUUAACAGGUGUUGCACUAGUGAAGGAGUUCUGAACUACUUCAUUAUUCUGAGACUUCCGAACCAACACGAAGAGUUUUGCAAGAAGUGAAGUAUACCCAGGACACACUAAGGAUCACAAGGGACAGCACCUUAGGUCCUAACAGUUUACAGAGCUGGGAAAACUACAGCUUGGAGUCUUUAGUGGAUAUUGAAGGAGUACAUAGCAAUUUGGAAUGAGUCUUUCAAGCUCUUUGGAUGACAAAUCAGAUA